rnacentral:lncRNA from 1 species
UGGGUUAAAUUAUAAUAUUACGUAUUAAGUACCGAGAUGUGGGUUAAAACAUAUCUAAUAUUUUGAAAAUUUGCAAAAAUUGGUUGUAAACCAUAAUUUCUUCUACCCUUAAAAAUUAUCAUUUAGAACGUUGCUUUCUAAGCGAUGGUUUGUAGUCCCAGAAAAUGAAGCAAAUGCAUUGGUAUGCAACACAAGUAUUAUAAGUACAAUAAUAAAAUGAAAACUCAAACAGUGUUGAAAAUAUCAGGAUUGGUGCUUAUG